AGUGGAGGUUAUCAAGGAGACAGGUGGUGGCAUGGUUGUCGUCAGCUCGUGUCGUGAGAUGUUGGUUAAGUCCCGCAACGAGCGCAACCCUUAUUGCUAGUUACCAUCAUUAAGUUGGGGACUCUAGCGAGACUGCCAGUGAUAAACUGGAGGAAGGUGGGGAUGACGUCAAAUCAUCAUGCCCCUUAUGACCUGGGCUACAAACGUGAUACAAUGGCUGAAACAAAGGGCAGCGAAGCAGUGAUGUGGAGCGAAACCCAAAAAGCAGUCUCAGUUCGGAUUGAAGUCUGCAACUCGACUUCAUGAAGUUGGAAUCGCUAGUAAUCGUAGAUCAGAACGCUACGGUGAAUACGUUCUCGGGGUUU
rnacentral:rRNA from 1 species